rnacentral:rRNA from 1 species
UACGUAGGUGUCAAGCGUUGUCCGGAUUUAUUGGGCGUAAAGCGCCCGCAGGCGGCUUGCCAAGUUCGAUGUGAAAUCUCCCGGCUUAACUGGGAGGGUGCAUCGAAAACUGGCAGGCUUGAGGCAGGGAGAGGGAUGUGGAAUUCCAGGUGUAGUGGUGAAAUGCGUAGAUAUCUGGAGGAAUACCGGUGGCGAAGGCGGCAUCCUGGACCAUUACUGACGCUGAGGCGCGAAAGCUAGGGGAGCAAACGGG